rnacentral:rRNA from 1 species
UAACAAGGUCUCCGUUGGUGAACCAGCGGAGGGAUCAUUAUAGAGUUUUCUAAACUCCCAACCCAUGUGAACUUACCAUUGUUGCCUCGGCAGAAGCUGCUCGGUGCACCUUACCUUGGAACGGCCUACCCUGUAGCGCCUUACCCUGGAACGGCUUACCCUGCAACGGCUGCCGGUGGACUACCAAACUCUUGUUAUUUUAUGGUUAUCUGAGCGUCUUAUUUUAAUAAGUCAAAACUUUCAACAACGGAUCUCUUGGUUCUGGCAUCGAUGAAGAACGCAGCGAAAUGCGAUAAGUAAUGUGAAUUGCAGAAUUCAGUGAAUCAUCGAAUCUUUGAACGCACAUUGCGCCCAUUAGUAUUCUAGUGGGCAUGCCUGUUCGAGCGUCAUUUCAACCCUUAAGCCUAGCUUAGUGUUGGGAGCCUACUGCUUUUGCUAGCUGUAGCUCCUGAAAUACAACGGCGGAUCUGCGAUAUCCUCUGAGCGUAGUAAUUUUUAUCUCGCUUUUGACUGGAGUUGCAGCGUCUUUAGCCGCUAAACCCCCCAAUUUUUAAUGGUUGACCUCGGAUCAGGUAGGAAUACCCGCUGAACUUAAGCAUAUC